ensembl:lncRNA
UUCAGAGGGGACCCUAAAAGGAGAGGGGAAUGGGGGGUUUGGGGACCCCCAAAAAAGGGGUGGGGACCCCCCUGAGCGCCCUUUUUGUCCCCCCAGGACCCCAAAUUGGGGGGGACGAUCGUCUGCGCCUUCUGGAACCCCCGGGAGGGGCGCUGGGACACGGGGGGGUGCCGGGUGGUGCCCCCCAAAAACGGGACCCCCAGGAGGGCACCGUCUGCGCCUGCGAGCACCUGACGAGCUUCGCUGUCCUGCUGGCCUUCAACGAGAUCCAGGACCACUGUCUGCUGGACCUGGUGACGCGGGUGGCCCUGAGGGUGUCACUGAUGACGUCACUGAUGUCACUGAUGUCACUGAUGUCACUGAUGACAUCACUGAUGAUAUCGCUGAUGAUGUCACUGAUGAUGUCACUGAUGAUGUCGCUGAUGUCACUGAUGACGUCACUGUCCCUCCAGGACCACUGGCUGCUGGACCUGGAUCACUGGCUGCUGGACCUGGUGACGCGGGUGGCCCUGGCCGUGUCCGUGGUGGCCCUGGGGGUGUCACUGAUGAGCAUCACUGAUGAUGUCACUGAUGAUGUCACUGUCCCCCCAGGAUCACUGGCUGCUGGACCUGGUGACGCUGGGUGGCCCUGGCCUGUCCGGGUGGCCCUGGUGCAUGUGUGGGCGCCCCGUCUGGCUGGGGCUGGUGGCCUGGUGGCCCUGGCCGUGUCCGUUGGCGCUGUAGCGGCCGCCCUUGGCGCCGACGCUGCAGCUGCACCUGAGCCUGAGCCUGCUCGGGGGGCACCUGGCCUUCCUGGGGGGCAUCGACGGGGCGCAGAGCCCGGUGUCCUGCACAGUGACAGCGGUGGCCCUGCACCUGUCGUACCUGUCGGCGUUCUGCUGGAUGGCGCUGCAGGGCGUUCACCUGUACGUGCUGCUGGUGCAGGUGUUCGCCCCGGCCUGGCUGCGCCCGCGGCCGCUCCUGGCCCUGGGCUACGGCCCCGCCGCGGCCAUCGUGGCUGUGUCAGCGGCGGCGUUCCCGCAGGGAUACGGCACUGAUCAAUAGUGAGUGAUCGAUAAUCAUUGAUAGUGAUCAAUAGUGAUCAAUAGUGAUCAAUAGUGAUCAAUAGUGCCCAUCCCCACGGCCAUCGUGGCUGUGUCAGCGGCGGCGCACCGCGGGGAUACGGCACUGAUCAAUAGUGAGUGAUCGAUAACCAUUGAUAGUGAU